AUUGCCCCUGGAGGUAGUACAGAUGUGGCUGCUGUGUCACAUGUGGGUCAAUAACUGACAGAGAGGAGAGAGGCCAUGCAUAUGUUCACUGUUCUGACCUAAGAACAUCUGUAUGAUUAGUAGUCAGUUCCU